rnacentral:rRNA from 1 species
UACGUAGGGGGCGAGCGUUGUCCGGAAUUAUUGGGCGUAAAGAGCUCGUAGGCGGUCUGUCACGUCGGCUGUGAAAACCCGAGGCUCAACCUCGGGCCUGCAGUCGAUACGGGCAGACUAGAGUUCGGUAGGGGAGACUGGAAUUCCUGGUGUAGCGGUGAAAUGCGCAGAUAUCAGGAGGAACACCGGUGGCGAAGGCGGGUCUCUGGGCCGAUACUGACGCUGAGGAGCGAAAGCGUGGGGAGCGAACAGG